UACGGGGGGGGCAAGCGUUGUUCGGAAUUACUGGGCGUAAAGGGCUCGUAGGCGGCCAACUAAGUCAGACGUGAAAUCCCCAGGCUCAACCUGGGAACUGCGUCUGAUACUGGAUGGCUUGAAUCCGGGGAGAGGGAUGCAGAAUUCCAGGUGUAGCGGUGAAAUGCGUAGAUAUCUGGAGGAAUACCGGUGGCGAAGGCGGCAUCCUGGACCGGCAUUGACGCUGAGGAGCGAAAGCCAGGGGGAGCAAACGGG
rnacentral:rRNA from 1 species